rnacentral:rRNA from 1 species
CCUACGGGAGGCAGCAGUGAGGAAUAUUGGUCAAUGGCCGUAAGGCUGAACCAGCCAAGUCGCGUGAAGGAAGACGGAUCUAUGGUUUGUAAACUUCUUUUAUAGGGGAAUAAAGGUCUCCACGUGUGGCUAUUUGCAUGUACCCUAUGAAUAAGCAUCGGCUAACUCCGUGCCAGCAGCCGCGGUAAUACGGAGGAUGCGAGCGUUAUCCGGAUUUAUUGGGUUUAAAGGGUGCGUAGGUUGUUUUUUAAGUCAGCGGUGAAAGUUUGUGGCUCAACCAUAAAAUUGCCGUUGAAACUGGAAGACUUGAGUGUGUUUGAGGUAGGCGGAAUGCGUGGUGUAGCGGUGAAAUGCAUAGAUAUCACGCAGAACUCCGAUUGCGAAGGCAGCUUACUAAGCCAUAACUGACACUGAAGCACGAAAGCGUGGGGAUCAAACAGGAUUAGAUACCCUAGUAGUC